CCCCCUUUCUUUUUUGCGCGCGCGCCCUAUAUCGGCAGCGCCGGUCUCGUACCGGCUAUGGUGAUAAAGUGUGACGUGCAAUAGGCGCAGCGGACCCGGGGGCAGUACCCGGCGGCUCCACCACCUUUUCCGUUGGAGGCUCUUUCGUGGAGCCGAUGGCGGAGCAGAUGACGGGGCCGAACUAGGAUCGACGUGUGUUGAAAAGCGUUGCUUUUGCCCGGGCUGAGUAACCCGUUCAAGGCUCAAAACCCACAAGUGCCAACGAUAACGAAGCACUCGCAAUCGCCGCGUAAUCUGACGGCCUAACGGCCAGAUUUUACAAGGCGCAAGCGCGGUUGGACCCACCGGGCAACAGAAGGGAUUCCAGGGGUUGGGGGCGUACCCGGCAACAGAAACGCCCCACC
rnacentral:tmRNA from 1 species